GUUUACUUUGGCUGCACCGCAUACUGAAGCUGGAAUGAUAUGGAGAUUAGCAUGGCCCCUGAACAAAGACGAGAUGCAAAUUCAUGAAGUGUUCCUUAUUUUA
ensembl:snRNA Gm22013 U6 spliceosomal RNA